rnacentral:rRNA from 1 species
CAGCCGCCGCGGUAAUACAGAGGGUGCAAGCGUUAAUCGGAAUUACUGGGCGUAAAGCGCGCGUAGGUGGUUCGCCAAGUUGGAUGUGAAAUCCCCGGGCUCAACCUGGGAACUGCAUCCAAAACUGGCGAGCUAGAGUAUGGUAGAGGGUGGUGGAAUUUCCUGUGUAGCGGUGAAAUGCGUAGAUAUAGGAAGGAACACCAGUGGCGAAGGCGACUACCUGGACUGAUACUGACACUGAGGUGCGAAAGCGUGGGGAGCAAACAGGAUUAGAUACCCCAGUAGUCCCUGUCUCUUAUAC